CGAGUUCCUCCUCCUGACUCAGCCCUGUUUCGUCACCAGCUCCGCCUGCCUCCUCAGGUGUCUCCCCGCCUCCCAAGGGACCCGGGAGGGUCACUUCCUGGUCUGCCUCACUCCGCGGAACCGCUGAGCUGUUAACAUCUGCUGCUCGGGAGCAGACUUCCGUUCCGGGCGCGGCCGCAACCCCGCUCCGUCUCGCGCCGGCCGGCCCCGCGCUGCCCAGCUCCGUACCGCCCUCCAAACGAGCGACAACAUCUCUGACAGAGGGGCUGACUGGGGCUUUCUGCCCGCGCACUGGCCGCAUAUUACAAACAUUAAAGAAUUUUUCAACCCGCGAUGGCUUUCGCGUUUCUAUUUGUUCUGCUGUAGACUGUUCGAAUGCUCGAAUGGCAGCUUCCGCUGCCUCUUUCUCCGCGGCCAUGCUUUGUAAGCUCUCUUUGAGAGAAUAUGAAAGAGCAGCCGCACUGAAGCCUGUAAAUCUCCAUCCAUGGUGAACUUUCACCCUCUCUUUCUGCACGCAGCUUACCUCACCUCCGCGGGUUGCUUCGCUCUCGCUUUUCUUCGGCAAGGCAGCACCCCGCUCCAGCUCUCCGGCCCCGGCCACGUCCACACCCGCCGUUCAGGUACCUUGUGAACACCGAGGUCUUCCCACUGCUCCAACGGACUCUCGCAAACAAACAA